GUAAGUGUAGUUAAAUUAUAAUAAUACCAUGUUUUCAUCAUGGAGUUCUAUGGCUCUUAUU
rnacentral:tRNA from 1 species